UUUCUGCAGCAAUUUGAGGUUUAUGUAGACCAGUAGCAAAGGCAGUGGCUUUGAAACAUCACAGGUUGAGAUGAAGAGGAUUUUGCAGACAGAUGGCAAGACUUGCUUCAUUUUACAGAAUGGGAAUAAUUCCAGGGAAAAGUGUGAAAAAACACGUAAUGAUUUCAGGUUCUUACUGUGGUCUCCUCCUCCCCAUAAUAUGCAUAUUUUUAUGUUAUAAACUAAACAAAUCCACCUGGCUGUAAAGUUUUAUGUAGUCAAACUGUUUCACAGUGAGAACGAUCAUAGCGUGAUCUUAAAUGGGGCAAGCGAGAUAAGCCUAAUUGCUCAUUUGAGCAGACUCUCUUAUAGAUUUCUUGAAGAAGAAGAAAUAAAACCUGCAGGUAUGGCAGAGAGAACAAAGAAUAGGAAAAAAAAAUCAUUUGUUGCAAUAUUUAUUUUGCCAUCCAGGAUAUAAAUACUACAUGAGUUAGGGAGAGCUCUACACGCCUCUUAGCCAUGGGAUCCAGCAAGCAACGCUGUCUGCUGGUUUUGGGGGUUUUGCAGUUCCCAGAGCUGUUACAUCAUUUAAUACCACGUUGUUAGUUGUCACACCUGGUUACCGUGGUUUACAUCAGCUGCGUCGUGUGAUGUCUCAUGGAAAUUGGCAACAACUGGGGAAAUGUUAAAUAAGUGCAGGCAAAGCCUGUUUUGGCCAUUUUCGGUCCCUAGGACUGGAGGUUCCUGAGCAGGGGAGUCUCUGGGGGCUUGCCUGGGGCAGGCACUGCCAGCACGGGCUGGGAUCUUCCUGUGGUGGCUGGGGACUGGUGCGUGGUGCCUGGUGGCCAGCAGUGGCCAGAGCUCGGGCCCAGGGCAGGAGGUGUCCUGCUGUACUGCCUGCAUCGGCAGGAAUCCUGCUAGUACAGCAGAAAGCUUCAAGAAAACUGUUAAAAAUCUGAAAUGCACACGGUGUGGUUCAUGGAAGGCUGGUUUUCUACAGAGCUAUGCAAGGUUUUAUAUGGCUGCUUGGCGUGAAUUCUCUCCAUUAUAUCACAGAGCCAAAAGUGAAGAGAAAGUCUCACCUAAAGGUAAUGAGUGCUGAGACAAUAUAAAUCAAUACCAACUUCUGCAGGUAGUUUGCUUGCAGCUAUUAUAUUAAACUGUUGUAAUGUAUCCGAGAGGAGUUUAGGCUUGCGGUCAAGGCUAGACAAAGUGUUUGUCAUAGGAUUUAAUGAAAAAGGGUUGUUUUCAAGGUCACAACUUCUUUUGAGUGAAAAAGAAUAGCAAGAGUAGUGCUAGCAGAACAGCUCUGCCAGCUAGCAGCAAUGGAUAACAGCGCAUGCAGACAAAACUCUAGAGGGAGAGCAAAUCUCACUUUCUGAGCUGAGCAGUGCAUCUCGUUUAGCAAUGUUAUUUCUUCAGGAUUGGCAUGUGAGGGGUUUGGUGGUGUUUUAAUUUUUUGAACCUUAUGAUUACUAGUGAAGACCUGAAUUUAG
rnacentral:lncRNA from 1 species